rnacentral:rRNA from 1 species
UACGGAGGGGGCUAGCGUUGUUCGGAAUUACUGGGCGUAAAGCGCGCGUAGGCGGAUCUGCAAGUCGGGGGUGAAAUCCCGAGGCUCAACCUCGGAACUGCCUUUGAUACUGCGGGUCUUGAGUCCGAUAGAGGUGGGUGGAAUUCCUAGUGUAGAGGUGAAAUUCGUAGAUAUUAGGAAGAACACCGGUGGCGAAGGCGGCCCACUGGAUCGGUACUGACGCUGAGGUGCGAAAGCGUGGGGAGCAAACAGG